UCAUUCAUAUAGCAACCGAUUUGUGUUUCGAAAAGUAACUCGGGUACUUAGACUGCAAGCAGAAUUGAACUUCAUUUUUUUUGACAAGGAUUUUGCCGCAACAACUUGUUGCGAUAGGGGUUUAACUAAAUUGCAAUGCUUUGCCGCAUCAGCUUGUACUGAUAGUAAGUAAUGGAGGGGUAUCAUGGUCUUUAGUCUUGUCACAACAAGUUAUUUUAAUUUGUUGCCGCAACAGGCAGGGAGGAAGAUAAUUCAAUCUCGACCAUUCAUUAUCGAGAUCAACGGCUAG
rnacentral:lncRNA from 1 species